rfam:Spinacia oleracea cultivar SynViroflay scaffold23680.con0001.1, whole genome shotgun sequence.
AUUUGAUAUGAUGAACGAUCUUUGUUUCCCUAUUGGUUUGGUUUGCUGAUGUGAUGACAAGGAUGUAUUUGAUCAUAG